rnacentral:tRNA from 1 species
GGGGGGAUAGCGUAGGUGGUAGACACGCCUGGUGGCCGCGUAAGGCCGUGGGUUCGAAUCCCACUCCCCUUA